ACCUUCCUACGGGGCGCAGCAGUAGGGAAUAUUGCUCAAUGGGGGAAACCCUGAAGCAGCAACGCCGCGUGGAGGAUGAAGGUUUUAGGAUUGUAAACUCCUUUUGUAGGAGAAGAUUAUGACGGUAUCUUACGAAUAAGCACCGGCUAACUCCGUGCCAGCAGCCGCGGUAAUACGGAGGGUGCAAGCGUUACUCGGAAUCACUGGGCGUAAAGAGCGCGAAGGCGGGGGGUCAAGUCAGAUGUAAAAUCCUGUAGCUUAACUACAGAACUGCAUUUGAAACUGAUCAUCUAGAGUAUGGGAGG
rnacentral:rRNA from 1 species